CUCUUGAGGCAUAUUAGCUAAAUGUCAGGAUGCUUCCUGAAUAUGAAUUCUGGAAAGAAGCAAUAAGAUCUUUAGUGUUUCCACGGUGGAAAAGCUAUGAACCUCUACUUGACUGGGAAAUUACAUUACUUAGAGAAUGCAGAGCACAAGAAUGCUGGAGACCUAGCUAACGUGAUCUUCUCUAAGGCUUCCCUUUGAUAUCAUUUUCCUCUGCCAGAACUUCAACAUUUCUUGUAGUGCAGGAUGGUUGAGUGAAGACUGCCACCAUGUCCUGCAUCGCCAGGACCUUCGCCAGGACCUUGCUUCAGACGUAAUUGAUAGAAACAAGGAAUCAUGUGGCUAGCACGGAGGCAUCAGGAGCACUCAGGACACUUCUGUGCUCUGAAAUGCACCCUGCACUGCAGCAUUAUGAAAGGAAAAAUGAAACAGUUUGGAGAGAUGGAUAAUAACAAACUGGGGAACAAGUUAGAAGUUCACUGCAUUUAUGGUUCUAACUGAUCCAAUGUGUGCAGACAAUUCAACUUACAGCAGCUCCAGGUCUUCCUCUCUGAAUCACCUCUGGACCCCUCCUUUAUGUCUCUGAAAGGAGGAGAGUAGCAUCUGUGUGCUUAAAGGAGGUUGCCUGAGAUGACCUUAAGGUAGGUCUACUUUGAGAACCUGGUCUCAGAGGAAAAUAUGGCUAAGAAUUUCUGGAGAUGGGUAUUUAUUUUAAAAAAUAGCCUUGCCAUCCAAAUUUUCUUCUUAUUAACACCAUUUGCCACCAAACAGUCUUAUGAUUUCAAAUCUAGGGUCCUUCCUUGAAUAAGUACUAAACAAGCUGUUUUACUUGUUUGGGAAGCUAAAGGCAUUGUAUUUUUUUAGUAUCUGUCACCCCCAAAAUCUCACUCGUGUAACCGUUUAAUGCAAGUCUUGGGGCUAUGCAUCCUUAUCCUGGAUCUUCAUCACCCAGAGAUAGACUGAGAAAGAAAAAUGCAUGGAGGAUUGCUAGAAAAGUUUCUGUGGGGUUAUCAUACAUCACUUCUACUCAUAUUCCUACUACUCAUACUAGUCUUAGACUCUGGAGCCUGACUACCUAGGUUCAAAUCCUGAUUUUACCAAUAACUGCCUGUGUGUCUUUAAGCAAGUUACUUAACCUC